rnacentral:rRNA from 1 species
GACGAACGCUGGCGGCGUGCCUAAUACAUGCAAGUAGAACGCUGAAGAGAGGAGCUUGCUCUUCUUGGAUGAGUUGCGAACGGGUGAGUAACGCGUAGGUAACCUGCCUUGUAGCGGGGGAUAACUAUUGGAAACGAUAGCUAAUACCGCAUAACAAUGGAUGACACAUGUCAUUUAUUUGAAAGGGGCAAUUGUUCCACUACAAGAUGGACCUGCGUUGUAUUAGCUAGUAGGUGAGGUAAUGGCUCACCUAGGCGACGAUACAUAGCCGACCUGAGAGGGCGAUCGGCCACACUGGGACUGAGACACGGCCCAGACUCCUACGGGAGGCAGCAGUAGGGAAUCUUCGGCAAUGGGGGCAACCCUGACCGAGCAACGCCGCGUGAGUGAAGAAGGUUUUCGGAUCGUAAAGCUCUGUUGUAAGUCAAGAACGGGUGUGAGAGUGGAAAGUUCACACUGUGACGGUAGCUUACCAGAAAGGGACGGCUAACUACGUG